ensembl:lncRNA
CCCGUUUAAGGGCUGACUGCCACUAAGGAGGCUCUCUUCCUGAAGAUUGCUUCUCUUGGAGUUCCCCCCCCCCGUAAGCUUACAACUUGGGUAGACAAAUCUAUAGAAUGCUUAAAAUUGGGCAAUGUGUGCUGGGGUAUGCUUGAAUGCCAAGAAGUUUAAAUGCAUGUAUUUUCCAUUUUGAUGUGGUCAUGCCCGUAGUUGUGGGAAUACAACAAAAUCUAUUCAGAGCAGAAGCUGUGGAGCAAGAUAAACAGCAUGAGAACCAAGGACACCUUUAGAAGAAGAGAAAAAGCAAAAGAAAUGACUCAUGGCUCUGAUUGGAUAAGCACCCGCAUGCACGGAUAAGGAGUGUUUGUAGAAUACUCUGUUGUCAAGUAAAGGUGGAUGGGAAAGUUGUAAGGGCAGAUGGGAAAGCUAAAAAAAAAAAAAAAAAGGAAACUUGUGAAUGUAUAUAAGUAAUGUGAGAACUUGUAAUAAAUGAUUUGGAUUGUUCACAUUUGAGUCCAUGCAUCAGAUGCUGCACAUAGUAACUGCACUGUAUCUUUGUCAAAUAUGUAAAUUAAUUCCUGUAAUUUUCAUAACUAUUAUUGUGCUAUACCUUUAUUCCCAUCUGUAAAAAAGUCAUAAUUUACCUGUCAGUGUAUGGAGAUGACUUCUUCCCAUCUCUAACUUUCCAAAGGACUGUAGUUUUGUUGCCUGUUGGGAAAAGACCUGAAGUUCACUGUAAUUAACUCUCAGAUCCCUUACGUCGUGUAGCUUUCUUACUUCUUCUGAAAUGGACACUAAUAUGGAAUUACUGACAGCUAAAGCUUCAGAAAGCAGUGUAAAUGAAUUUUGAAAGAAAAUUGGUGCAUAUGAGAGAAUGUAAGUUAGGUUGAAUGUGUCUGACAUGCACAAAAACAAUCUCUUCUGAGCUUCUUAUAAAGAAGAAAUCUGCUACUUGCUUUACAAAAAAAGAAAAGCAAAUGUUCAUUGCAAUUGAAGUAGAACUUGGAAGUGAAGAAUUCAGCUUAUGAGAAAAGUCCUGUUUUUAGGGGGAGACUCUCUCUGAACUAAAUUUAGUUUUCUCAGUCUUUUCAAAUUUUCCAUACAGAUUGAUGGUACAAUGAAGCCUAAGAGGUUUGUUUGUUGGCUUGUUUUUUUAAACAAACAAACAAACUUUGAAAUGCAAUUAUUCCAUAAACAUAUAAAAAUAAAACAUAUACAUAAAAUAAAAAGCAUUGCAGUCCUACUGUUCUAUAGACAAAACAAAGUUUAGGUAAUAUUUUAAUGCAUUAGGACAAAUUAUUAUCCUUAGUGCCUUUAAAGUAUGUGAUAAUAAUUGCUUUCUGCUGAGACCGUAACUGAUGUCAGCUACAUAUCCAUAGUUUAUGCCCAACUGUUCUAUGAUUCCUAUGGCAGAUCCAUUUUACCUUCUUACAGUGGGUGUCUGUCUAACUCUGGAUGGAAACAUGCCUGACGUUCAACAAUUGGAUAAAGUGGAUGAGGUUUUGAAAUUCAUUUAAAGCACUUUGAUUUACAUUGGGCUUGCACACACUUUGGUUGUAAGUCAGGUUUGGAGUGAAAUGUAGGCUCAGGCCUGCACUGUUACAUCCACUGCAGCUGUAAGUUAGCAGCUUUACUCUGUAUACUUUUCCUCCUGGUUAGUUUGUUCUCAUCUUUUUUGUUGUUGUUCAUAAUGAUAAACUGGUAAGCUCUUCUGAAAGUGAAUCCCCUGUUAGCUUUGUAGCUCCUGUGCCAGUUUCUUGUUAGCUUUGCUGCUUGUACUUCUGGAACUGAUUUGCAUUCCCUAAGCCAGAGCUGAAUCUCUUUGCUCUGAGUGCUUACUACUGCAUGGAUAUGCAUUUUUAAACAAUUAGCUGAGGAAUCCUACCCAUAGAACUUAACACAGGUUGAAGACAUUUUACAUAAACUGAUGUUUAAAUGGCUUUAAAACCAACUGCAAUUUUUUUUUCUGAUUUAUCUUUUCAUCUGGGAAUAGACAAGACAUAUGUUUAUGACUUUUAAAAUUAAUGCUCAGCUCUAAUUCUAGCAUCAUAUUUUUGAGACUUUAGUGAUGCAUGACUCUCUCCUCCAGAUG